rnacentral:lncRNA from 1 species
UGCCUGCCAUUCCUAAGAUUCACACCUGACAUACAGUAUUGCUGAAUUGUGACUCUACCUUGGGGACAUUCAAAGGCCCAUGCCUUGUCCCAAUACCUGCUACAGUGCCUUGCAUGAUGAUCUAUACAUCCAGAAACCAUUGUUUGACUGCAUGGACUAAGGGGCUUGUCAUUCACAUAUCUCUGUCUUUUUCCUGUCCUGGUUCCUUCUAGGAGCAGCUGAUAAUAGAGUGGGCAGUAUAUGCUGAUGUGUGAUGAACUGCACACUAACCAAACAAUUCCUGGGAUUAUGUUACUCCUUGUUUCACAUCUUUCUGGAUUUGCAGACUUUAAAUGGAAACCCAUCUGGCUGGAAGGACAUGGCUUAGUGGCCUCCCAGUCUGCAACACAGAGCUAGACUAACUGGAGCCACACACUGAAAUCCCAAUAGCCCUGAAUCAUCCUUCCAAAGGCAGAUAAAUUGAAUUGUAUGCAGCUCAUUGCCUGGUGACAGUCUUCUGGCUGAAACCUUAGAGGCAAGGCUAUAUGUAGACAUUAAAGAUCCCAUAAACCUUUCUCAAAUGGAGACAUCCACCUCAGUGCUCUAAGUUAAAUGUCAUAUAAGGCUCAAAUAUCCCAACGAAGUGAAAACCUUGGCGAUGAGCUGAGGUGGCCUGCACACUGUCAUGAGUGUUGGUGGAAUGCUUCGGCGCUCUGUGUAUUUAUGCAGAUCCCUUUCCCAUCAUCUCUGUUGAUCGUUAUUCAUGAGAACUGUAUAGUUCUGGGUGGAAGUUCUCAGCACAGUUGUAAAUAAUGAGAUCAAGGUACUUAAGUUCUCAAAGUAAGCACUAAGAAAAACUACUGGGCCCUGUUCCGAGUGUGUUACUCCUAGACUGAUUUAUAGUUGGGCAACCUUGUUUUAAAGCGACCUGUCUUCUACUUGUGGGUGAAUAGAAUGUACCACUUCUCUAUACUAUGGCCCAGACAGCAGAAUAAUUAGCAAAGAUUUGUGGGCUUCCUUUUAACUGUUAAGAAAGAUUUUUUUUUAAUUUCUCUUCAAAGUCUGUCUUAAAUUUAUUAUAACCUUGUGAUUUCUGAAACUUGGAUUAAUUACAAAUCAUUGAAUCUAUAGAUUUCAAAACAACAGGAAAGCAGAAUACCACCAAAUAUUGGUUCUUGUACCUCUUGCUAGAUGACAGUUAUUCCUGGUUGCAAUAAUAUAAACAAUGUCUAAACACCUGCAAGAGUCUGACUCUGGUGGAAAUGAAUGGUCAGUGAAGCUCGACAGCAUGUUAAUAUCAAGGUUGGAGCAAGACGCCAUUCACACUGUGAAGACCCAUCCAAACAUAACUUUCCAGUAGCUUCCGAGCUGCAACGUAACCAUCAUGUCUUCAAAUGGAGCCAGCACCCAGCAGACAGUCAUCUGAGACCUAGGAUAAGUCUCCGAGGCACAGGAACAACAGAAGGCAGCUGGAUUCUGCAAAAGCAGAGAUGAAGGAAAAGCGAGACAAGGGGAGAAAGCUGCCUAGGGAAAGGCUGGAGGUUGGAGCUCAGGAGGAGCAGGUCCAUGUGAGAGGUUUGAGGAAGCACGGGGAGAUGACUGAAGUCACUUCCAGGGAGAAGUCUGUGGGAAAACAAGAUGACUUGGGAAGCAGGAAGAGGAAGCAGGAAAAGUAGCCAGGAGUGUGAGCAGCAAAGGAGGAAGGAGCAGCAGAAGCCUGGGACAGCUCAGGGCUGCUGGGGUGCGGUGGCAAUGUGAAGAGUUUCAGGCCAGCAGAGGAAAUAAAUGCGAAUUUUGGAUCUGACAAGUGACUGGAUUUCUGGCUGACAUCCAUUGGGAAAAGCUAGCAGCGAGCAGUCACCUCUUCUUUCUUUGUCCUUUCUCUUGUCUUUGGACAGCAUUUUACUGUGUGGGUAACCUUGACUUCAUGGUGUUUCCCAGGCUGGCCUGGGACUCAUGAUCCCCCUGCCUUGACCUCCCAAGUGCUGAGAUUAUAGGGAUGCGCUGUGCAUGGCUGACCUGUCAGUUUUGUGUGAGUCCUGCAGCCAGGGAUGCAAUCUCAUUUUUCUGACACUACAAUCAUGAAAUCAGCAAAUCUUGCUCCUUGUCUCUGGUCUUUCACUCCCCUGCUCAUAGGACGGAGCGAGGCUUCAGUGCUCCUUAAGAUGCCUGAGUUGCUUUAUGAUUCUUAGGUUUUAACUUUUUUGAAGUCCCUACUAAGAGUUUUAGAUAAGCCUGGCAUGGUGGACACCACCUUUAGUCCCAGCACUUGGGAGGCAGAGGCAUGUGACUCUCUGUGUAGCCUGGUCUGUAUAGUAAGUUCUAGGCUAGCCAGAGAUACACUGUUAAACUCUGUAAAAAAAGAAAGAAGAAGGAGAAGAUGAAGAGGAGGUAGAGGUAGAGGAAGAGGAAGAGGAAGAGGAGGAGGAGUUCUUAAAAGAACUAAAGAUAAAUCUAAAGAUAAAUCCAAAAUAGUUUCUAGCACUUUCCCUCUACCCAUAAUUGCGGUUCUGGAAGAAGUAUACAUUAGGAAGAGAUGGGUGCUUGUCUUCAUGUCAGACAGAGUUGAUUUUUCACUCCAAACUAAAUCCCGAGGAUCUGGGAGCUCUUGCAGCUACCUGGUAUGUGAAGUGGCACAUCCUAGAUUCCUGUCAUGUGUCCCCAAGAAAACUGUGCUCUCUCUUAUCAUCUGUGGUAGAGACUUCUGAGAUGGACUCUGUCCCCAGUGGCAUGCACAGCCAGGAUCCCAGCUGGUUACUGACAGAAUGCAUUUUUGCCCUGCCAUCAUUAUUUCAGGCACCCAGAAGGAUUCCUUUUGUAAUUGUAUGGUGAUGUAAGGUCACAUGCUAAGGUCAUGUGAUAAAGCCUGGAGAAACUGACUAAGGAAAAAAUAACAUAGAGGUUACACUGAAUUGUGAAAUUGCCAUCCAUUCAAGCAGUUCCUGGAAAAUGAGAACUAAACAAGACCCUGAAACCACAAAACUGAAACAUUUUAUGUUCAGUCAGCAAACCCAUGAUUAGUUGUUACCUUGAAGCUGGGUUCUUGUUCCAGGCAGCAGGCAGGGAGCAUGGGUGGCCCUCUGUCCUCAGGCCUUAAGAAGAAGGGUAGACUUGUCAGAGUUCCAAACUAGAGAGGCAUCUAAGGAGGACUAAGGGAAACCCACAAAUGGCUCACCUUUCACUAAUCAAGAUGUACUCCGACCCUGGACUUCCUCAAGAUCUUGCUGUGUAAAGAUUUCAUUUAGCUAAGUAGCGCCUUUCCUUCACAGAAUGCUGGCACACUCAUUCCAGGCCACGAUAACAAGUCAUAAAAUGUGCAAGAGGAAAGCUUCAUUUUUAAGAUAUAACAUUACUUUGUGUGAAACUCGAGAUGU